rnacentral:rRNA from 1 species
GUUGAUCAGUGGCUCGAGGACGAACGCUGGCGGCGUGCUUAACACAUGCAAGUCGAACGGUAAGGCCCUUCGGGGUACACGAGUGGCGAACGGGUGAGUAACACGUGGGUGAUCUGCCCUGCACUUCGGGAUAAGCCUGGGAAACUGGGUCUAAUACCGGAUAGGACCAUGGACUUCACGGUUUGUGGUGGAAAGCUUUUGCGGUGUGGGAUGGGCCCGCGGCCUAUCAGCUUGUUGGUGGGGUAAUGGCCUACCAAGGCGACGACGGGUAGCCGGCCUGAGAGGGUGUCCGGCCACACUGGGACUGAGAUACGGCCCAGACUCCUACGGGAGGCAGCAGUGGGGAAUAUUGCACAAUGGGCGCAAGCCUGAUGCAGCGACGCCGCGUGAGGGAUGACGGCCUUCGGGUUGUAAACCUCUUUCAAUAGGGACGAAGCGCAAGUGACGGUACCUAUAGAAGAAGCACCGGCCAACUACGUG